AGUGGCGGACGGGUGAGUAACGCGUGGGCAAUCUGCCCUCUAGCCUGGGAUAACAGUUCGAAAGGACUGCUAACACCGGAUAAUGAGUCUCGAUGGCAUCAUCGAGCCUUUAAAGUUUACACUAGAGGAUGAGCCCGCGUCCCAUUAGCUAGUUGGUGAGGUAACGGCCCACCAAGGCGACGAUGGGUAGCCGACCUGAGAGGGUGAACGGCCACACUGGGACUGAGACACGGCCCAGACUCCUACGGGAGGCAGCAGUAGGGAAUUUUCCGCAAUGGGCGAAAGCCUGACGGAGCAACGCCGCGUGAGGGAUGAAGGUUUUCGGAUCGUAAACCUCUGUCUAGAGGGAAGAUAAUGACGGUACCUCUGGAGGAAGCCACGGCUAACUACGUGCCAGCAGCCGCGGUAAUACGUAGGUGGCAAGCGUUGUCCGGAAUUACUGGGCGUAAAGGGCGUGUAGGCGGCCUUUUAAGUCAGACGUGAAAACCCUGGGCUUAACCCAGGACCUGCGUUUGAUACUGGAGGGCUUGAGGAUCGGAGAGGACAGUGGAAUUCCCAGUGUAGCGGUGAAAUGCGUAGAUAUUGGGAGGAACACCAGUGGCGAAGGCGACUGUCUGGACGACACCUGACGCUGAGGCGCGAAAGCCAGGGGAGCAAACGGGAUUAGAUACCCCGGUAGUCCUGGCUGUAAACGAUGGGUACUAGGUGUGGGAGGUAUCGACCCCUUCCGUGCCGCAGCUAACACAAUAA
rnacentral:rRNA from 1 species